UACAGAGGUGCCGAGCGUUAGGCGGAAUCACUGGGCUUAAAGCGUGUGUAGGCGGACUUCUAAGUACCUUGUGAAAUCCCACGGCUCACCCGUGGAACUGCUGGGUAUACUGGUCGUCUUGAGCCACCUAGGGGCCAGCGGAACAAAUGGUGGAACGGUGAAAUGCGUAGAUAUCAUUUGGAACGCCAACGGUGAAAACAGCUGGCUGGGGGUGUGCUGACGCUGAGACACGAAAGCCAGGGGAGCGAACGGG
rnacentral:rRNA from 1 species